CAAGACACCACCAAUCCGGAUGUGCCAUAGUGGGAAUUCCACCCUGGGCCCUAUUUCUGCUCUUGCAGAGAUCUUGGAUAGAGACAGAAUAGGAAAGGUCUAGGUUCAAGGCCAGACAGUCCAACUCCGUGGACCUCCCUUCCUCACCUGUAAUACACCCUCCUGGCUGGUUUGCCAGGGAGGUGGAACCAACCUGUCCACAGCCAACGCUGGAGGUAGCCUGGUGCUGGGGAUGCCCCUUGCCUGCAGCCACUUCCUGCCCUCACUCUGCAUGUCAUUGCCAGAACCCAGCAGGGCUGUGAACCGCUUCCCGGGCUGUGACUUUCCAUGGCGAGUGAAAACUCGAAGAGAGACCAUGUCUUUUUGUAUUUCCCCAGCAACCAGCAAGGGCUUGGCACUGGGCUCCUUGGGAAACGCCUGCCAGGCUGAAUUGUUCAAGGCUGGAAUCACAGCUGAAUGACUCACCCUGCCCAAGAUGCCCGCGUUAAUCCAGCGACUUCAUUCCAGUCACCACUUGUUACCGAGUGCCGAAGCCGAGAAAGAGAGAAGGCUUGAGAGGGAGGGCAGAUCCCCCCCCCACGUGGUAUCUACAUCUGAAAGGCAGCCUUUCUGCUGGAGGCCCGCUUGACUUCCUACACCGCCACUCCCUUACAGUCUUGAAAGCCAGCAAGAACUGUUCCGCUGCAAAAGUAGCUGCCUGGAUUCCAAGAGGGGUCACACAAGGAUGCUUGCACAACGCCUGCUGACCCAGGGAAGGAGUCCUCCCGCUGGCUUCAGGUUCAUGGACAGAGCUUGAGCUUUGACUCCCUGUGGUUGACGUCACCUGCAUUCACCAAUAUCCAGAGUUUCUCCCCUUCCAGCACAUGGAUGACUCAGCCCCUUGCAGUCAGGUGAGAUCAUGGGACUAGCUCUGGCAAAUGAAAUGACAGAAGUUCACUUCCAGGCUGAAUGAAAAACUCAUGUAAGAUUCUCCAGUCUCUCUCCUCUCUUGCCAGUGGUGACUGUGGCAAAGGCCUUGUGUUGACACAGCAGGCCAGAAGAUCAAAGUUGCCUGGGUCUUGGAGUCUCCGCAUGGAAGGCCACUGUUUUGAAUGGCAAGUACACUCUAAUUCCAUAAAGCCACAGAGAUUCUUGGGACUAUUUGUUACUGCAGCACAACCUAGCCUACCCUGACUAAUACACAACCUGAUUCUCAGUUUCCCCUCCCCUAUAUCACAUGGCUGUAAUGAGGAUUUAAUAAGAAGAUGUGUGUCAAGCUGUUAGCUCCAUUUUGGCUCACAGAAGGGACUCACUAAAUGUUCAGUUCUUGCCCACCCCUAGCAAGAUGGUCAUUCUUGGGAAAGUCAGAUGAGGCCACCUGACCAGACCUUUCCAUAGACCUCUGGGCGUAGCAAUGAGGUCAGUAGCUCUUCAUGGAGGCAGGUACACAAUCCUUAUUAUGCAGCAGGUUUUAUGAGUUCUGUCUCUCCACACUUCCAGUUCUUUCCAUGGAAAUCCUAGGGCAAUUUAGGUUUGUUGAGAGAGGUGCCCUGACAGCCCCUGAUGUCUACCUUUCCAGUUGCAACAAGCUGUGAAGACUCCACCUUCCCCUCAUCACUGCCACCAGCUUGCCUCCAUCUGCAGCAGAGGGGAGAAAGCUGGUCCCUCACUUACCAUGAGCUGUCCUCUCAGUGCCAAGUGCCACGAAAGAAUCUUUUGGGACUGAGUCUGCCUUGGUCCUUGUCUUGACUUUAAUAACAAUAAGAGCAAUGUAAUAAUUAAUCAGAACAAAACUCUGACCUGUGGGUGACUUUUUUUUUUUUUUUUGAGUAAAGUUUAGUGAAAUGUUGGUGGUGCUAGAAGCAAAACAUGAACCCGAAUGCUCAAUAGGGAGAAAGAAGUGCCCUGUAGAAAACCAUCAUUCUCUUGUUAACAAUGACUGGGUUUGACGGGUAUUCCUGUGUGCUGGGGUUUCUUUUAGAUGCAUCAGAAAAGGAGUUUCUUUCUUUCUUUUUUUUCUUUUUUUCUUUCUUUUUUGUUUUUUUGUCUUUUUUGU